GACGAACGCUGACGGCGUGCUUAACACAUGCAAGUCGAAGGGAGUGGCGAACGGGUGAGUAACGCGUGAGUAACCUGCCCUUUUCUUUGGAAUAAGCCUGGGAAACGGGGUUUAAUACUGGCUGGGAUGGGACGAGCUCGGGGCUUCUUGGCUUGUGGGUGGGGUGAUGGCUUACCAAGGCUUUGAAGGGUAGCCGGACUGAGAGGGUGGUCGGUAACACUGGGACUGAGACACGGUCCAGACUCCUACGGGAGGCAGCAGUGGGGGAUAUUGCACAAUGGACGCAAGCCUGAUGCAGCCAUGCCGCGUGUAUGAAGAAGGCCUUCGGGUUGUAAAGUACUUUCAGCGGGGAGGCGUUACCCGCAGAAGAAGCACCGGCUAACUCCGUGCCAGCAGCCGCGGUAAUAC
rnacentral:rRNA from 1 species